GAUGAACGCUGGCGGCGUGCCUAAUACAUGCAAGUCGAGCGAACAGAUGAGGUACUUGUUCCUCUGACAUUAGCGGCGGACGGGUGAGUAACACGUGGAUAACCUACCUAUAAGACUGGGAUAACUUCGGGAAACCGGAGCUAAUACCGGAUAAUAUAUUGAACCGCAUGGUUCAAUAGUGAAAGACGGUUUUGCUGUCACUUAUAGAUAGAUCCGCGCCGCAUUAGCUAUUUGUUAAGGUAACGGCUUACCAAGGCAACGAUGCGAAGCCGACCUGAGAGGGUGAUCGGCCACACUGGAACUGAGACACGGUCCAGCCUCCUACGGGAGGAAGCAGUAGGGAAUCUCCCGCAAUGGGCGAAAGCCUGACGGAGAAACGCCGCGUGAGUGAUGAAGGUCUUCGGAUCGUAAAACUCUGUUAUUAGGGAAGAACAAAUGUGUAAGUAACUAUGCACGUCUUGACGGUACCUAAUCAGAAAGCCACGGCUAACUACGUG
rnacentral:rRNA from 1 species